UUUUUUGGGGUCUAGAGGGCCAUAAAUGGAAGGGCGGGAACAUAACUAGACAUUAAAACAAGUCAAACACUUCAUCAUCUUUGGGGGUUUCCACAUACUGGUGAGUCAGGAGGCGCCAAACAAAAAACACUGAAGUGAUUUCAAAGCAUUCAUAAAUAAUUCUUACUUAUAUGACAAUAUUAUUCUCAAACCAUAGCCGGAGCCUGUUAUGGCAGCAGUAUGUGCAAAGCAGUAAGUAGCCCUGGACAGGGUGGCAUUUCAUCACAUUAUUCAUAACACAUUUCCAAAAAUGUAAUUUAAGGUUUAUUUACCAACGGUUUGUUUAGGUAAUAAUUACCUUGUGAAUGGAUGACACACUACAUGUCCCGGUGCUUACAGCAGAUUCUUCCUCCCACAGUCUGAUUCCCAGACUCCUUUUUUUUUUGGAAAUUUCACUUUCCAGAGGCCAAUUGCAUUUCCAUUCUCCUGUCCUUAUUUAUAGAACCUCAAAAAACAGGUCUUAUCGCAACAGCACACCCACAAGCAAGCACAGCACUCUUCAAUAGCCACAGCUAAUGAGAACUGACAGUGACUGAAUGAUUUUAGUCUGGUAUCAGUUCAGUAGGUGGAAAAUGAAAAAAAAAAAAAAAGAAA